rnacentral:rRNA from 1 species
UGGGGGAUAUUGCACAAUGGGCGAAAGCCUGAUGCAGCGACGCCGCGUGGGGGAUGAAGGCUUUCGGGUUGUAAACCUCUUUCGCUAUCGAACAAGGCCCGCUUAGGGUGGGUUGAGGGUAGGUGGAGAAGAAGCGCCGGCUAACUACGUGCCAGCAGCCGCGGUACUACGUAGGGCGCGAGCGUUGUCCGGAAUUAUUGGGCGUAAAGGGCUUGUAGGCGGCUUGUUGCGCCUGCUGUGAAAACGCGGGGCUUAACUUCGCGCGUGCAGUGGGUACGGGAAGGCUUGGGUGUGGUAGGGGUGACUGGAGUGCCAGGUGUAGCGGUGGAAUGCGCAGAUAUCAGGAGGAGCGCCGAUGGCGAAGGCAGGUCACUGGGCCAUUACUGACGCUGAGGAGCGAAGGCAUGGGUAGCGAAGAAG